rnacentral:tRNA from 3 species
GGAUCUGUAGCGUCGUUGGUUAGAGCAGACGGCUCAUAACCGCCCGGUCUCAGGUUCGAGUCCUGCCAGAUCUA